GCUCUUCCUAUCUGUUUGGGGAGUGGGACAAGUGGAUCUCCCGGUUUAUAUGGCAGGGGAAGAAACCAAGGAUUCACCACUCAGUGUUAUAACUCCGUAAAGAAAAAGGAGGUGUGAUGCUCCCAUGUUUACAAUAUUAUUACUUUGCUGCGCA